rnacentral:lncRNA from 1 species
GGCCGACAAGGUGCUGGAGGGGCAGAUCCUGGAGACCAUCAGUCAGCUCUACCUGUCCCUGGGCACGGAGUGGGCCUACAAAUCCGCUCUGGACUACGCCAAACGAAGUCUGGAGAUUUUCAUUGACCUCCAGAGGAAAGAGAAGGAGGCGCAUGCCUGGCUGCAAGCAGGGAAGAUCUAUUACAUCCUGCGACAGAGCGAGCUGGUGGACCUGUGCAUCCAGGUGGCACAGAAUGUGGCCCUGUACACAGGCGACCCCAACCUGGGGCUGGAGCUGUUUGAGGCAGCUGGAGACAUCUUCUUCAAUGGGGCCUGGGAGCGGGAGAAAGCCGUGUCCUUCUACCGGGGGACCGGCUGAACGAGCGCGUGGCCUACCACCGGCUGGCCGCCCUGCACCACCGACUGGGCCACGGCGAGCUGGCGGAGCACUUCUACCUCAAGGCCCUGUCGCUCUGCAACUCGCCGCUGGAGUUCGACGAGGAGACCCUCUACUACGUGAAGGUGUACCUGGUGCUCGGUGACAUCAUCUUCUACGACCUGAAGGUGGGUGGGGAGGUGCAGGGCUUGGGGUAUUCCCAGCCCCUUGGAGUGGGAUCUCCACCCAGACCCCAGAGGCCUGGGUUCCAGCCUUCCUUAGGAAUGGCUCAGUGGCCUCCCUGGAGCUCUGCACCCAGCUGGAGGAGCCGGCAAAGUUAGUAGAUACAACCCAGCUCCCAAGAUGGCCAGGCCCCACCCUCAAGAAGUCAGUCUCAGCCAGGGAGGCUGACACAUGAGCGGGCAAUGGUGGCCUCUGGGUAAAGAAGGGGGAUUGUAGUCAGGGGGGCCCUCCUGGAGGAGGUGACACCAAAGCUGAGUCUUGACAGUCAAGUGUCAAGUUGCAUUUAACAAAGAAAACAGGGUGGGGAGAAGGACAUUUCUGAGGACGGCAUCAUCCUCACAUGGAAUCCACGUUGUAAGAUCCAACCCAAAUCCCAGCGCCUCCUCUAGGAAGCCUGCCCAGGGUGCCAGCCCGCACUGAGCAACUCCUUCCUGGAGUCCCGAGACACCUUGAAUCUUCACAUCACCCAGGAAGGGUGGGGUGGGGCCGGUGUCUUACCAUCUGCUUCACAGACGGAAACCCCAGCUCAGGGCAGGUGCAGUGGGGCCGGGCCCCAGCCAGCCGGGCUGAGGCCUUGCUGGGUCGGGUCUGUCUCGAGGGGAGGUGCUGGGACCUGGGCUCCCUCUGACCCCAGCCCUGCAGGGCUGGAGAGCUGGGACUGGCAGACUCGGACCUGGGGUGUCUCCACCCCUCUGCCCAGCAGGCACCCGCCCCUCCUAGCAUCGCACCGGCACCGCGUCAGUGCUCCUUAUGGGCUGAGGGGCCAGGGCACGCCAGUCCAGGGACCGAGAUCUUGGGGGCCUUAGAACAACAUGAGGAGCUGGGGCAGCCCUAAGACCCCGCCCCGUAUCCCCCACCGCAGGCCUGGGGCUGCCCGGGAGGCCCCCGCCCAGUGCUGGCGACACCUG